CAGCAGCCGCGGGAAAACGUAGGUCCCGAGCGUUGUCCGGAUUUAUUGGGCGUAAAGCGAGCGCAGGCGGUUAGAUAAGUCUGAUGUGAAAGCCCCCGGCUCAACCGGGGAGGGUCAUUGGAAACUGGGAAACUUGAGUGCAGAAGAGGAGAGUGGAAUUCCACGUGUAGCGGUGAAAUGCGUAGAGAUGUGGAGGAACACCAGUGGCGAAGGCGACUCUCUGGUCUGUAACUGACGCUGAGGAGCGAAAGCUAGGGGAGCAAAUGGGAUUAGAUACCCCUGUAGUCCCUGUCUCUUAUAA
rnacentral:rRNA from 1 species